rnacentral:rRNA from 1 species
ACAACGGCUGGCGGUGUGCUUCACACAUGCAAGUCGAACGGAGUAGCAAUACUCAGUGGCGGACGGGUGAGUAACACGUGGGAAUCUACCAUUAGAUGGGGAAUAACAGGCCGAAAGGACUGCUAAUGCCGCAUAUGUAUGUGACUCGACAGGGUCGUAUAUGAAAGGAGUAAUCCGUCUGAUGAUGAGCCCGCGUCCGAUUAGCUAGUUGGUAGGGUAAAAGCCUACCAAGGCGACGAUCGGUAGGUGGUCUGAGAGGAUGAUCACCCACAAUGGGACUGAGACACGGCCCAUACUCCUACGGGAGGCAGCAGUGGGGAAUUUUGUGCAAUGGGGGAAACCCUGACACAGCGACACCGCGUGAGCGAAGAAGCCCUUUGGGGUGUAAAGCUCUGUCAACGGGAACGAAAAAAAUGACGGUACCCGUGGAGGAAGCAUCGGCUAACUCUGUG